rnacentral:rRNA from 1 species
CUACGGGAGGCUGCAGUGGGGAAUAUUGCGCAAUGGGCGAAAGCCUGACGCAGCGACGCAGCGUGAGGGACGACGGCCUUCGGGUUGUAAACCUCUUUCAGCGGGGACGAAGCGAAAGUGACGGUACCCGCAGAAGAAGCACCGGCUAACUACGUGCCAGCAGCCGCGGUAAUACGUAGGGUGCAAGCAUUGUCCGGAUUUAUUGGGCGUAAAGAGCUCGUAGGCGGCUUGUCACGUCGGAUGUGAAAACUCGGGGCUCAACCCCGAGCCUGCAUUCGAUACGGGCUAGCUAGAGUGUUGCAGGGGAGACUGGAAUUCCUGGUGUAGCGGUGAAAUGCGCAGAUAUCAGGAGGAACACCGGUGGCGAAGGCGGGUCUCUGGGCAACUACUGACGCUGAGGAGCGAAAGCGUGGGGAGCGAACAGGAUUAGAUACCCGGGUAGUC